GCUGGCAAGACGACUCAAAUGCAUCGGCAGAAAGUGUGCACGAGUCCCGCGAUAGCGAGUAGGUGGCUAACCUUGACGACCACUUACACGAUCGACGCUCUUGCACGUGCUUAUACACACAUGCAUAUAUAUACAAGCGCGCACAAGUUGCAGCAACGACGCAGCACGCGACGCUAUCGGUAUACAUGUAUAUAUAUAUGUACGCGAUACUCGACCACGUAUAUAUGUAUACGGUUGAUUACCGUGAGUUUACAUAGGGUGUCGGUUAACUGGUAUAUGGGCCAAACAGUUUCGAGAAGAAUGCAAAAAAAAAAAAAAAAGGAAAAAAGACUCGUCUUCGAUCGAACUUCCUUCAAAAAAAGCGAGCUUAGUUGUUGUGAGGACAAGGAAACGGGUGUGUCUAGUAUGUUGAGACGAAUUGAAAAAGUAUUGGAACAGGUGCGGCAGACUACUUGUGGACGUGUUCCGUUCCACGAAAGGCCGCUGCAAGGAUAUUUUUUUUCUUUCGAACAGUAUACGAUUAACAAAGAAAACGGAGACUGCCAAUAUAAACAAGUUAAAAAGAGAGCGAAUCUUGUUAUCGGUAGACGAGAAUGUCAAUUUUUCGCGUGAAAUUGAUAUUGUUUGCAUUAUUGGUCACGUAUUUGUGUGCUUCGUGCACUGCUAUUGGCCUGUCGUGAACAAGUUUUAUCGACAUGAGAUAUAUAAAAGGGAAACGAUCGUUCGUGACCGUCCCGCUUAUCUCCAUCAGCAAUCUGGCUGGUGUUGUUAAUUUAAACGUGGUAUCGAACGUGCCAUGCCGAUAGAGAACCACCGGCUGAUCGUUAAUUAUAAUCGUUUCGAUGCGAUUCCUUGGUAUGUACUGAUUCGCGUUUGUUUCAUCGGCGUGCUGCUAAAAAUAACCUCUCGCGGCACAGCGACUCCUCUUUGAAAUGUGUUUUAAAACACGUCUUUACGAAAACGUAAAGCGUAUCUGAUUCAGCAUCUAGUUACAGGCAUAACGUAAAUCUUCGUUAGAGGUUCCCAGUCACAGGGAAUUAUUUCCCUUAUCAGAUUCGUUGUUACAUGUCGGUAUCGGAGGUGUAUAUUUCGGUCACCUGGUAGAAAUCUCAUGCAAGGCUCGUCGCGCACGCUCGACAUUGCAAACGCUCCCUUCCCCUUUGCUUUCGACGAUUUCCCCCACUGUUGUGCCAUUGGACGAGCCAGCUCGUGACGGCGGAGAGUGAGGAAGAGGGGAGGUCGAUUCUCCCGUUUCGGCCGUGCACUAGAACUUGACUCCUAAGCUCGACAGUGACGGCGCAAGCUCUAUCUGCGUCUUUCUGUCCCUUUUCUUCUCCUUUUUGCUCUUAUUCGUGUUCAUCGUUCUUUCCUCUCUCGUUCUAACAUCUCCUCCCUCUCCCCACCACAGUCGCAUCGCAUCAAACUCGCUUGGAGACCUCGAGCGAGCGAUCGAGAGUUGACCGUUUGAACGCGAAACAACCAAAGAGGAGUGCAUUGAACGAAACCAAAUCGAUACCAAAAGAAGAGGGGAAGUUAGCUCGAUUUAGAGAAGGAA